rnacentral:rRNA from 1 species
UACGUAGGGUGCAAGCGUUGUCCGGAAUUACUGGGCGUAAAGAGCUCGUAGGUGGUUUGUCGCGUUGUUCGUGAAAACUCACAGCUUAACUGUGGGCGUGCGGGCGAUACGGGCAGACUGGAGUACUGCAGGGGAGACUGGAAUUCCUGGUGUAGCGGUGGAAUGCGUAGAGAUCCGGAAGAACACCGGUGGCGAAGGCGGUCUGCUGGGCCAAGACUGACGCUGAGGCGCGACAGCGUGGGGAGCAAACAGG